rnacentral:rRNA from 1 species
UACGUAGGGGGGCAAGCGUUGUCCGGAAUCAUUGGGCGUAAAGAGCGUGUAGGCGGCCCGGUAAGUCCGCCGUGAAAGUCCAGGGCUCAACCCUGGAAUGCCGGUGGAAACUGCCGGGCUGGAGUCCGGAAGAGGCGAGUGGAAUUCCUGGUGUAGAGGUGAAAUGCGCAGAUAUCAGGAGGAACACCGGUGGCGAAGGCGGGUCUCUGGGCCACUACUGACGCUGAGAAGCGAAAGCAUGGGGGAGCGAACAGG